rnacentral:rRNA from 1 species
UACGGAGGGUGCAAGCGUUGUCCGGAAUCACUGGGCGUAAAGGGCGCGUAGGCGGCUCAUGAAGGCUGUGGUGAAAGUCCGGGGCUCAACCUCGGAUCGGCCGUGGCGACUCGUGGGCUGGAGCACUGUAGAGGCGGGUGGAAUUCCGGGUGUAGCGGUGGAAUGCGUAGAGAUCCGGAAGAACACCAGUGGCGAAGGCGGCCCGCUGGGCAGUGGCUGACGCUGAGGCGCGAAAGCUAGGGGAGCAAACAGG